UAGGACAGUAGGUGAUGGAAGUUGUAUAGAGAUGGCGACUGAGAUAAUGAGAGUAGCUCAACAUAAAGAAGAUAUUAACCUGUGAAAACUCUACCAACAGUGAAAGGAAUAACUGAGAGGAUCACAUUUCCAGUCAUGAAGAGGGGAAUUGAAGCGAUGGAUGACCAAGGCUACAUCAAUUUCUCAGAUGAGCUAGGCAGAAUGAGAUCAAUUCUCCCCUGCAAUUGUGAGAUCAGAACUGACAAGGGCAUGUUAUAUGAAAUAUUUAUUGGGAAGAAACUCUCAAAUGCCCCUUUGAGGAUUUCAGAAAUUUAA
rnacentral:lncRNA from 1 species